AUUGAACGCUGGCGGCAUGCCUUACACAUGCAAGUCGAACGGCAGCACGGGAGCAAUCCUGGUGGCGAGUGGCGAACGGGUGAGUAAUGCAUCGGAACGUGCCAUUGAGUGGGGGAUAACGUAGCGAAAGUUACGCUAAUACCGCAUAUUCUGUGCGCAGGAAAGCAGGGGAUCGCAAGACCUUGCGCUCUUUGAGCGGCCGAUGUCAGAUUAGCUAGUUGGUGAGGUAAAGGCUCACCAAGGCGACGAUCUGUAGCGGGUCUGAGAGGAUGAUCCGCCACACUGGGACUGAGACACGGCCCAGACUCCUACGGGAGGCAGCAGUGGGGAAUUUUGGACAAUGGGGGCAACCCUGAUCCAGCCAUACCGCGUGAGUGAAGAAGGCCCUCGGGUUGUAAAGCUCUUUUGUCCGGAAGAAAAGCAAUCGGUUAAUACCCGGUUGUUCUGACGGUACCGGAAGAAUAAGCACCGGCUAACUUCGUGCC
rnacentral:rRNA from 1 species